rnacentral:lncRNA from 1 species
AAUGUAUUAGAAAAGAGGAACACUUUGAGAAGGGUAACCUAAGUUUUUAAUAUGGUAGCUGGCUCAGAGCUCAAUUACAGGGGUCAACCGAAAAUAGAGGGAAUUGGCAAAACGAGGUUGAAAUCUUGGAGAGAAAAACAAACUCAAGUGAAGAGAAAAAUGGAAACAAAGAUGGGAAUGAGACUGAAAAUAAUAUGGUGAUUCUAAAAUUAAAAGAAAAGGUCAGGUUUAGGGAAGAGGAGUCAGAAUCUUGCUCUCAUAUAGAUAAGCUUCCAAUAUGAUCAAGACAUGAUGAAUGAGGCAAAAUGAGUGUAAACGUAAAAGAAC